rnacentral:tRNA from 1 species
UGCAGCGUAUUGGCUGCUCAGAAGGGGUUAUCCAUCGGUCUCCAAAACCGAGGGUUGCAGGUUCGAGUCCUGUCGCCCCUGCAA